GGAAGAAGGCUUUCUGAGUCGUAAACUGCUUUUGACAGGGAAGAAUAAGCGCUACGUGUAGCGUGAUGACGGUACCUGCAGAAUAAGCACCGGCUAACUCCGUGCCAGCAGCCGCGGUAAUACGGAGGGUGCGAGCGUUGUCCGGAUUUAUUGGGUUUAAAGGGUGCGUAGGCGGCCCGUUAAGUCCGGGGUGAAAGCCCGUUGCUCAACAGCGGAACUGCCCUGGAUACUGACGGGCUUGAGUACAGACGAGGUUGGCGGAAUGGACCGAGUAGCGGUGAAAUGCAUAGAUACGGUCCAGAACCCCGAUUGCNAAGGCAGCUGACUAGGCUGUUACUGACGCUGAGGCACGAAAGCGUGGGGAGCGAACAGGAUUAGAUACCCUGGUAGUCCACGCCGUAAACGAUGGAUACUCGCUGCGAGCUAAAGAUUGUUCGUGGCUUAGGGAAACCGAUAAGUAUCCCACCUGGGGAGUACGCCGGCAACGGUGAAACUCAAAGGAAUUGACGG
rnacentral:rRNA from 1 species